AUACGGAGGGAGCAAGCGUUAUUCGGAAUCACUGGGCGUAAAGGACGCGUAGGCGGGUUUGUAAGUCAGGUGUGAAAUCCUACAGCUCAACUGUAGAACUGCACUUGAAACUACAGACCUAGAGUAUGGAAGGGGCAGAUGGAAUUAGUGGUGUAGGGGUAAAAUCCGUAGAUAUCACUAGGAAUACCGAAAGCGAAGGCGAUCUGCUGGGACAUUACUGACGCUGAGGCGUGGAAGCGUGGGGAGCAAACAGGAUUAGAUACCCGGGUAGUCC
rnacentral:rRNA from 1 species